GACGAACGCUGGCGGCGUGCUUAACACAUGCAAGUCGAACGGAAAGGCCCUGCUUUUGUGGGGUGCUCGAGUGGCGAACGGGUGAGUAACACGUGAGUAACCUGCCCUUGACUUUGGGAUAACUUCAGGAAACUGGGGCUAAUACCGGAUAGGAGCUCCUGCUGCAUGGUGGGGGUUGGAAAGUUUCGGCGGUUGGGGAUGGACUCGCGGCUUAUCAGCUUGUUGGUGGGGUAGUGGCUUACCAAGGCUUUGACGGGUAGCCGGCCUGAGAGGGUGACCGGCAACAUUGGGACUGAGAUACGGAACAGACGCCUACGGGAGGCAGCAGUGGGGAAUAUUGCACAAUGGGCGGAAGCCUGAUGCAGCAAAGCAGCGUGCGGGAUGACGGCCUUCGGGUUGUAAACCGCUUUCGCAUGUGACGAAGCGUGAGUGACGGUAAUGGGUAAAGAAGCACCGGCUAACUACGUG
rnacentral:rRNA from 1 species